rnacentral:misc_RNA from 1 species
AAUUAUCAACUUCAUAGUUUUUAUUACUAUGAUGCUUGGAUUUGGAAGUUUGCUGGCGAAAAAGUCAGCUCUUCUUAAAUGUAUUAGCUACUUGUCCGUGAGUUGGCUCAGAGUGUGAUAAGUAUCUACACUUGGUGGCUGCUUGCCUUGGGAUGUGGCUUCUAAUCGUCUUCAGCAGACAAUUUCUUAAG